rnacentral:rRNA from 1 species
UACCAGACUCCUACGGGAGGCAGCAGUGAGGAAUAUUGGUCAAUGGGCGGGAGCCUGAACCAGCCAAGUCGCGUGAGGGAUGACGGCCCUAUGGGUUGUAAACCUCUUUUGUCAGGGAGCAAUUGGCGCUACGUGUAGCGUUAUCGAGAGUACCUGAAGAAAAAGCAUCGGCUAACUCCGUGCCAGCAGCCGCGGUAAUACGGAGGAUGCGAGCGUUAUCCGGAUUUAUUGGGUUUAAAGGGUGCGUAGGCGGAAUAUCAAGUCAGCGGUAAAAAUUCGGGGCUCAACCCCGUCGUGCCGUUGAAACUGAUGUUCUUGAGUGGGCGAGAAGUAUGCGGAAUGCGUGGUGUAGCGGUGAAAUGCAUAGAUAUCACGCAGAACUCCGAUUGCGAAGGCAGCAUACCGGCGCCCAACUGACGCUGAAGCACGAAAGCGUGGGUAUCGAACAGGAUUAGAUACCCGCGUAGA